rnacentral:rRNA from 1 species
ACGGAGGGUGCAAGCGUUGUCCGGAUUCAUUGGGUUUAAAGGGUGCGUAGGCGGGCAGGUAAGUCAGUGGUGAAAUCCCCGAGCUUAACUCGGGAACUGCCGUUGAUACUAUCUGUCUUGAAUACCGUGGAGGUGAGCGGAAUAUGUCAUGUAGCGGUGAAAUGCUUAGAUAUGACAUAGAACACCAAUUGCGAAGGCAGCUCGCUACACGGUCAUUGACGCUGAGGCACGAAAGCGUGGGGAUCAAACAGGAUUAGAUACCCUGGUAGUCCACGCCCUAAACGAUGGAUACUCGACAUACGCGAUACACUGUGUGUGUCUGAGCGAAAGCAUUAAGUAUCCCACCUGGGAAGUACGUUCGCAAGAAUG